CUCCAUGUUGGUCAGGCUGGUCUCUAACUCCCGACCUCAGGUGAUCUGCCCGUCUCGACCUCCCAAAGUGCUGAGACUACAGGCGUGAGCCACCGCGCCCUGCAAUUUUUGUAUUUUUAGUAGAGACAGGGGUUCACCAUGUUGGCCAGGCUGGUCUCGAACUUCUGGCCUCAAGUGACCCUCCCGCUUCGGCCUCCCAAAAUGCUGGGAUUACAGGCAUGAACAAUCGCGCCCGGC
rnacentral:lncRNA from 1 species